rnacentral:rRNA from 1 species
GACGAACGCUGGCGGCGUGCUUAACACAUGCAAGUCGAACGGAAAGGCCCUGCUUUUGUGGGGUGCUCGAUUGGCGAACGGGUGAGUAACACGUGAGUAACCUGCCCUUGACUUUGGGAUAACUUCAGGAAACUGGGGCUAAUACCGGAUAGGAGCUCCUGCUGCAUGGUGGGGGUUGGAAAGUUUCGGCGGUUGGGGAUGGACUCGCGGCUUAUCAGCUUGUUGGUGGGGUAGGGGCUUACCAAGGCUUUGACGGGUAGCCGGCCUGAGAGGGUGACCGGCCACAUUGGGACUGAGAUACGGCCCAGACUCCUACGGGAGGCAGCAGUGGGGAAUAUUGCACAAUGGGCGGACGCCUGAUGCAGCAACGCCGCGUGCGGGAUGACGGCCUUCGGGUUGUAAACCGCUUUCGCAUGUGACGAAGCGUGAGUGACGGUAAUGGGUAAAGAAGCACCGGCUAACUACGUG